UACAGAGGUCCCAAGCGUUGUUCGGAUUCACUGGGCGUAAAGGGUGCGUAGGCGGUCGGGCAAGUCUGACGUGAAAUCUUCAAGCUCAACUUGGAAACUGCGUCGGAUACUAUUCGGCUAGAGGAAUGGAGGGGAGACUGGAAUACUUGGUGUAGCAGUGAAAUGCGUAGAUAUCAAGUGGAACACCAGUGGCGAAGGCGAGUCUCUGGACAUUUCCUGACGCUCAUGCACGAAAGCGUGGGGAGCAAACAGG
rnacentral:rRNA from 1 species